rnacentral:rRNA from 1 species
AUGCAUGUCUAAGUACAAGCCGAUUUAAGGCGAAACCGCGAAUGGCUCAUUAAAUCAGCUAUGAUUCAUUGGAUCUGUACCCACACUUACUUGGAUAACUGUGGUAAUUCUAGAGCUAAUACAUGCACCACGUCUCUGACCGCAAGGGAAGAGCGCUUUUAUUAGUUCAAAACCGGUCGGGCCUCGGUCCGUCACCCCACCGUGUUGAAUCUGAAUAACUUGUCGCUGAGCGCACGGUCUCCGCACCGGCGCCGCCUCUUUCAAGUGUCUGCCUUAUCAGCUUUCGAUUGUAGGUUAUGCGCCUACAAUGGCUAUAACGGGUAACGGGGAAUCAGGGUUCGAUUCCGGAGAGGGAGCCUGAGAAACGGCUACCACAUCUAAGGAAGGCAGCAGGCACGCAAAUUACCCACUCCCGGCACGGGGAGGUAGUGACGAAAAAUAACGAUGCGAGACUCAUCCGAGGCCUCGCAAUCGGAAUGAGUACACUUUAAAUCCUUUAACGAGGAUCUAUUGGAGGGCAAGUCUGGUGCCAGCAGCCGCGGUAAUUCCAGCUCCAAUAGCGUAUUUNAAAAGUUGUUGCGGUUAAAAAGCUCCGUAGUUGGAUUUCAGUUCUGGACUGAUGGUUCACCGCCCGGUGCACACCGUCACGCUCCGAACAGCCACAACAGCCCGCUGGCUCGCACGGGGUGCUCUUCAUCGAGUGUCCCGCGUGGCCGG